rnacentral:rRNA from 1 species
AGAGUUUGAUCCUUGGCUCAGAUUGAACGCUGGCGGCAUGGCUAAAACAUGCAAGUCGAGGGAGAAACCCCUUCGGGGGUGGAAACCGGCGGAAGGGCGAGGAAUACAUUGGAACGUGCCCCGAGGUGGGGGAUAGCCAGGGGAAACUCUGGGUAAUACCCCACAAGCUCUUCGGAGGAAAGCUCCGGCGUAUGGGGAUGGGUCUAGAACGUAUCAGCUAGUUGGUGGGGUAAAGGCCUACCAAGGCUACGACGCGUAGCUGGUCUGAGAGGACGACCAGCCACAUCGGAACUGAGACACUGUCCGGACACCUACGGGUGGCUGCAGUAACGAAUCUUCCGCAAUGGGCGCAAGCCUGACGGAAGCGACGCUGCGUGCCAGAGGAAGCCCUUCGGGGUGUAAAUGGCUUUCAGGGUUAUGCAAAACUGAGCAGACCCAGAAGAAGGAGCGACUAACUUCGUGCCAGCAGUCGCGGUAAUACGAAGGCUCCGAACGUUACUCGGAUUUACUGGGCUUAAAGGGCGUGUAGGCUGAUGGCAAGGUGCUUUGUGAAAUCCUGCGGCUCAACCGCAGAAGGGCAGAGCAGACCGGUCGUCUAGAGAUAGCUAGGGGCAACUGGAACUCUCGGUGGAGCGGUGAAAUGCGUAGAUAUCGAGGGGAACGCCAAAGGCGAAGGCAGGUUGCUGGGGCUAUUCUGACGCUGAAACGCGAAAGCGUGGGGAGCGAACGGGAUUAGAUACCCCGGUAGUCCACGCUGUAAACGAUGUGCACUAGGUUCGGGAGGUACUCACACCGUCCGGGCCGAAGAGAAAUUAUUAAGUGCACCGCCUGGGGAGUACGGCCGCAAGGCUAAAACUCAAACGAAUUGACGGGGGCUCACACAAGCGGUGGAGCAUGUGGCUUAAUUCGAAGCAACGCGAAGAACCUUACCCAGGUUUGACAUGCGCGGAUACUAUCUUGGAAACAGGAGUAACGCCCUUUGGGUGGAACAUGCACAGGUGCUGCAUGGCUGUCGUCAGCUCGUGCUGUGAAGUGUCGGGUUAAGUCCCUUAACGAGCGCAACCCCUAUCGCUAGUUGCCAGCAAGUAAUGUUGGGGACUCUAGCGAGACUGCCGGUGUCAAACCGGAGGAAGGUGGGGAUGACGUCAAGUCCUCAUGGCCCUUAUGUCCUGGGAUGCAAACGUGCUACAAUGGCGUGUACAGAGCGAUGCAAUACCGCGAGGUGGAGCAAAUCGCAAAAAGCACGCCCCAGUUCGGAUUGCAGGCUGCAACUCGCCUGCAUGAAGUUGGAAUCGCUAGUAAUCGUGGAUCAGCUACGCCACGGUGAAUACGUUCCUGAGCCUUGUACACACCGCCCGUCACGUCAUGGAAGCCGGGAGCGCCCGAAGUCGCCCCAUCUCAGGGGUGCCUACGGCGAGAUCGGUGACUGGGACGAAGUCGUAACAAGGUAACCGUA